GUGGGGAAUAUUGGACAAUGGGCGAAAGCCUGAUCCAGCCAUGCCGCGUGUGUGAAGAAGGUCUUCGGCUUGUAAAGCACUUUAAGUUGGGAGGAAGGGCAGUACGUUAAUACCUUGCUGUUUUGACGUUACCAACAGAAUAAGCACCGGCUAACUUCGUGCCAGCAGCCGCGGUAAUACGAAGGGUGCAAGCGUUAAUCGGAAUUACUUGGCGUAAAGCCCGCGUAGGUGGUUUUGUAAGUUGGAGGUGAAAUCCCCGGGCUCAACCUGGGAACUGCCUCCAAAACUGCAUGACUAGAGUACGGUAGAGUAGAGUGGAAUUUCCUGUGUAGCGGUGAAAUGCGGAGAUAUAGGAAGGAACACCAGGGGCGAAGGCGACUACCUGGACUGAUACUGACACUGAGGUGCGAAAGCGUGGGGAGCAAACAGGAUUAGAAACCCGUGUAGUCC
rnacentral:rRNA from 1 species